rnacentral:misc_RNA from 1 species
GAAAUGCGAUAAGUAAUGUGAAUUGCAGAAUUCAGUGAAUCAUCGAAUCUUUGAACGCACCUUGCGCUCCUUGGUAUUCCUUGGAGCAUGCCUGUUUGAGUAUCAUGAAAUCUUCAAAGUAAAUCUUUUGUUAACUCAAUUGGUUUCUACUUUGGUAUUGGAGGUCUUUGCAGCUUCACACCUGCUCCUCUUUGUUCAUUAGCUGGAUCUCAGUGUUAUGCUUGGUUCCACUCGGCGUGAUAAGUUAUCUAUCGCUGAGGACACUGUAAAAGGUGGCCAAGGUAAAUGCAGACGAACCGCUUCUAAUAGUCCAUUGACUUGGACAAUACUUUUAUGAUCUGAUCUCAAAUCAGGUAGGACUACCCGCUGAACUUAAGC